rnacentral:rRNA from 1 species
UACGAAGGGGGCUAGCGUUGCUCGGAAUCACUGGCGUAAAGCGCACGUAGGCGGAUUGUUAAGUCAGGGGUGAAAUCCUGGAGCUCAACUCCAGAACUGCCUUUGAUACUGGCGAUCUCGAGUCCGGGAGAGGUGAGUGGAACUGCGAGUGUAGAGGUGAAAUUCGUAGAUAUUCGCAAGAACACCAGUGGCGAAGGCGGCUCACUGGCCCGGUACUGGACGCUGAGGUGCGAAAGCGUG